AUCGAACGCUGGCGGCAGGCCUAACACAUGCAAGUCGAGCGGAUGAAGGGAGCUUGCUCCUGGAUUCAGCGGCGGACGGGUGAGUAAUGCCUAUGAAUCUGCCUGGUAGUGGUGGAUAACGUCCGGAAACGGGCGCUAAUACCGCAGACGUCCUGAUGGAGCAGGUGGGGGAUCUUCGGACCGCACGCUAUGAGAUGAGCCUAGGUCGGAUUAGCUAGUUGGUUGGGUAAGGGCCUACCUAGGCGACGAUCCGUAGCUGGUCUGUGAGGAUGAUCACUCACACUGGAACUGGGACACGGUCAAGACUCCUACGGGAGGCCGCAGUGGGGAAUGUUGGACAAUGGGCGAAAACCUGAUACAGCCGUGCCGCGUGUGUGAAGAAGGUCUUCGGAUUGUAAAGCACUUUAAGUUGGGAGGAAGGGCAGUAAGUUAAUACCUAGCUGUUUUGACGUUACCAACAGAAUAAGCACCGGCUAACUACGUG
rnacentral:rRNA from 1 species